AAAGGUGAAAGUAAGAGUGAAGGCAUUGGAAAAGCUGUUAGUUCAGGUCUUAGUGAAUAAUAAUGACAGCUGUUUAUUAUAUCUCACUACAUUCAGUCAAGGUUCUAUUAUAUCAAAAAGGUCUCGUAGAAAACAAAAAUAUGAAAGGAGCGGGAGAAGGCAGCAAAGCAAACACUAGACCAAUUUAAAAUUGCUAUCUUUUUGUUAAUGGUCACAAGCAUAAAUGAGUCACUGCAGAGACGGCAGGGGAUUUUUAUAUUGCAAGUACAGUCAUGCUAGGUGUGAAGAUACGCACUACAAAUGGAGAAAAGUGCUUUAAACACAGAUCUCUGCUUGAAGCUGUCCUCUUCUAGGAAAGUGACUGGGAAAGCUAAUAUGAUUAUAGUGGUAUCAGCGAAGAUGGAUUAAGAGAUGGGAAGGACACCACACCUGUACCUGGGAUAUAGAUAAACCACAACAUCAUAGGAUUGUAGAAUCGUUGGUGUUGGAAGGGAUAUUUUAAAGUCAUCUAGUCCAACACUCUUGCAACGAACAGCGACAUUCACAGCUAAAUGGAUGUUCAUGGAAGCUGCUAGUGACCUGAGAGCUCCGAGAGUGCUGGUCUUGUUUAUGUAUCGGAGUGGGAGCAACAACUGGAAAUGGGAUGACAACUAUGAAAUAACAGUUUGCAGCAAGGGUAGUGAUCUCCUGUGUGCUUGUGGGACAUUAUUUGAGAACUGUUUGUUCCAGCAUCUUCUCAGGAGGGAUUGAAGUACGGUUGACCACCAUGCAGAUUUCUGGGAGCUUCAGCUGGAAAAAGUGUUUUGAAUUAAGUAUUUUCAGAAGAAAUCUGGAAGAACCAAGAUGUAUCGCAAUAAUGAAACUAAGGUUUAAUAAGCAAUUGGUAAGACAAGAUUCCAGUUCUCAGAAGGAAAGAUGCAUAAUGCAGGAAAAAACAAGGCAAAUGAAUUGGUUCUGGAAAAGUGAGUCAAUGUAUAUGAUGGCAAACAGAGACAAACAGGAGAACAUACGAAAUCACAGUGUUCAGAUGGAUAGAGAGGCAACAGAAAUGGGAAGCAGUGUUCUGAUUGCUGCUGCUAUCAGGUGAUAAACCAGGUGAGUGUGUUCACUGCUUAGAUGCUGCUGAUGGUGCUGUUUAGCGCCCAUGGUCUGCAAUGACAGAAUAUUCUUCUCAGAAAAUAGGCAAAUUUGGGAAUGAAAGAAUGUUACAAUAAAACUAAACCCUGUAUAGUUGGUUUUCUGAAUGUAUGUACGUGAAAUUUGUGCAGUAUGCUUUUAAACUCUGUCAGAAAAUAUAUGUUGUCAUGUCCUCUGGAAGGGUUGGUUUAAUCACAGUUUAGGAUGCUGAUACUUCAUUAAGUUAAGGUCAAGCCAUUUGAUUGUCAGAAGUGAUGCACUGCCUGGAUGAGCUGUAAUGCUGUUAUGCUGAUGUCACUAAAAAACACAUAAAAAUUACACAGAAGUGCAAUGUGAUUAUAUAAAACCCAAAAUGGUUAUAAUCUGUUGCUUAACUGCCUUUGCCAGCUGAAAUAUGAAUGAAUGUACACUUUAUAUAUAUUUUACAACACUAAAUCAAAUCUUAAAGUAUUAUAUAUAAAAGGUGAUUUUUAACUUCAUAAAAUAUGUUAUGGUUAAUUGCAUAAAUGUUAGAAUAAACAUUUUAUUCUGCAUUUUAAUUUUGUUCAAUAGAAACGCUGGUUUCCAAUUCUAUCAGGCACAAAAAGCUGCAUGCAGUCAUAGCACGUGAAAAAUUAACUUUGUGCAGUGUGGUGAACAAAAGAUCUUAGAGAAAGCUGACCUCAAAGCACCCUUAGGCAUGGUUGUGAAGAAUAG